rnacentral:lncRNA from 1 species
GCACCCUGCAGCAGUGGGGUCUUGGGGACGUGCCGUGCACCAGGGACUCUCAGUGUUGGGGUCACCCCAUGCACCAGGAGCACCCCGCGUGGUGCUUACCCCAUGCGCUGGGGACCCUCCGUGCUCCAGGGACCUUCCAUGCUCCCAGUGCUGGGGAUCCUCUGUGCCAGGGACACCCCACACAUCAGGGAGCUCUGGGCCAGGGGUACCCCAUGCGCUGGGGACCCUCCAUGGUAGGGACACACCGCACCGGGGUCCCUUUGUGCCAAGGACACCCUGUGCCAUGCGGACACCUUGUGCCAUGGAGACACCCUGUGCUAUGGGGACACCCUGUGCCAAGGACACCUUGUGCCAUGGGGACACCCUGUGCCAUGGGGACAAGUGCCAAGGGGACACCCUGUGCCAAGGACACCUUGUGCCAUGGGUACACCCUGUGCCAAGGGGACACCUUGUGCCAAGGGGACACCCUGUGCCAUGGGGACACCCUGUGCCACGGGGACAGUGCCACGGGGACAGUGCCACGGGGACACCCUGUGCCAUGGGGACACCCUGUGCCAAGGACACCCUGUGCUGUGGGGACACCCUGCUGGGCACCCUCUGGACACCGGGGACCCCUGCCCUGUCCUUAUGCCCCCGCUGCCCGCAGUCAGCAACGCCGGCGUGGGGAUGAUCGGACCCCUGGAGUGCCAGAGCCUGGCCGCCAUGCAGGGCCUGAUGGACACCAACUUCUUCGGCCUCGUCCGCCUGGUGAAGGAGGUGCUGCCCGACAUGAAGCGGCGCCGCAGCGGCCACAUCGUGGUCAUCAGCAGCGUCAUGGGGCUGCAGGGCAUCGUCUUCAACGACGUCUACGCUGCCUCCAAGUUCGCCGUGGAGGGCUUCUGCGAGAGCCUGGUGGUGCAGGCGCUGCGCUUCAAUGUGGCGUGAGUGCCCGGGGUGGGCGGAGGGGCUGAGGGAGGGGGGGGCUCAGCCACCAGCAUCCCCAGAGCCCCCUCCCCUGGCAGCAUCAGCCUGGUGGAGCCGGGGCCGGUGACGACGGAGUUUGAG